ensembl:lncRNA
CGAAGGGACACGGGAUGGAAUGGUAAUACCAUUGAUGAUGGACUUCAUAUGAUGAUUUUGAUGAACUCUGAAUUGUCUCAACUAAGGAAAACCGUUUGUAUAAUCAACCAUAAUUUACUGGAAACAAAACUUUGAGUCAAUCAGCAUGCCUUUCUAUAUGUUGGUAAAUUUCAAUAAAAAAUAUUUUUAAAAAAUCAUUUAGUUCUCCAAAGAAGAUCUAUCUGCAAAUGGCCAGUAAACACAUGAAAAACUGCUCUAUGUUACUAAUCACUAGGGAAAUGCAAAUCAAAACUACAAUGAGAUGCCACUUCAUAUCCAUUAGGAUGGCUACUAUCAAAAAAACAAUUGUUGUGGAGGAGGUGGAGAAAGUGGAAACAAUGUGCACUGUUGAUAGGAAUGUAAAGUGAUGCAGCCACUAUGGAAAACAGUACAGUGGUUUCACAGAAUUUUAAAAAAGAAUACAUAUCAUCUAACAAUUACAUUUUUGGUAUAUCCAAAAGAAUUGAAAACAACAUCUUGAAGAGGCAUUUGAAACCCAUGUUUGUAGCAACAUUAUUCACAAUAGCCAAAAGAUGGAAGCGAGCCAAGUAUCAAUUGACAAAUGGGUGGAUAAACAAAAUAUGGUAUAUAUAUACAAUGAUGGAUUAUUCAGACUUAAAGGAAAGAAAUUCUGGUACAUACUACAGCAUGGAUAAACCUUGAAGACGUAAUGUUAAGUGAAAUGAGCCAGUCACAAAAAGACAAAUGUCGUAUGACUCCACUAAUAUGAGAUACCUAGAGCAGUCAUAUUAUAGAGACAGAAAGAAGAGUGUUGGUUGCCACGGGUCGGGGGAAAGGGGGAAAAGGGAUGCACCAAGCUGAGGGAAAACCUCCUCUUGCCCAUCACCCCCUGCCCCUCCCACACGCAUCCCACACACGUGCGAACACUGGUUUAAUGCACAGCUGAACUGGAGAGAAAUCCCCAGCUGCCACAAAUGAGAGGGAGAGCAGCAAGCCCAUAUAGAGACCCAACAGCCCAUGGGAAUAUCAGAAGCGAAGCAGGGCUUCAGGGUGAGAAGUUAGUGUUUUAGUUGCUGAGAGAUAAAGCUCCCAGCCUUGCCUCUAGAACUGUGAAGUGCUAUUUAGGCUCUGAAAUAGGGGCAAGAAAAACUGGGCUGGGCUGGACUGGGCAAGCUGCUAAGUUCUGCUGCCCACUUGGGGCCCUGAAUAGAAGCAGUGUCACACAUGAGAAAGCAGAACCAGGAGCCUUCACUAUGGGGAAGCACGGGUUCUAAUUUCACACUGCCUUUGUGAAGCAUGAACGUGUUGAAAAACAUGAACACUGAGAAAAAGUGGGUCCCAAACUGGAGAUAUCCACAGAGCCACUUCAAACAUAAACAUGCCGUUGUCAGAACCCAGGACACAUGAGACUUGCUUGGAAAGCAACUCAGUAAAUAUGAGAUGACAGUCAAAAAUUACAGACUACAUCAAUUAAUGAAGGAAAGAAAGCCACCAAGUGUGACAAAUGGAAAAAUGAAUACCUAAAGAACCUUGUAUUACAAAUAAAAUUUUGAAAGAGAUUUUUAAAUAAUAUGUGUAAAAGAAAUAAAGAAGGUAGUAUAAUUGUUUCAAUUAUAUUGAAAGCUGUACACUUAUGAGUUGUGCAUUGUAUGUGUAUAUGUGUAUGUAAGUAUCCGUACAUGUAUAUACCUAAGUAUAUACUUAAGUAAAUUAAAAAAAAACCUUGGAAAACUAAAAUAACAUAAAAUAAAAGAUAAAUAACAUAGAAGGUGGUAUGGGAACUUCUAGAAAAAAGCCCUCUAUAUUCCUUUGUUUUUUUCAGAAACAAAUGGAGA